CCCUUAGAUGUCCGGGGCCGCACGCGCGCUACACUGAAGGAAUCAGCGUGGCUUUCUCCCUGACCCGAAAGGGUUGGGAAACCCGUUGAAUCUCCUUCGUGAUAGGGAUUGGGGCUUGAAAUUGUUCCCCAUGGACGAGGAAUUCCCAGUAAGCGCGAGUCAUAAGCUCGCGUUGAUUACGUCCCUGCCCUUUGUACACACCGCCCGUCGCUACUACCGAUUGAAUGGUUUAGUGAGAUCUUCGGAUUAGCGCCACUGCGGCUCAGCAAUGGGCUCGGUGGAUGCCGAAAAGUUGAUCAAACUUGAUCAUUUAGAGGAAGUAAAAGUCGUAACA
rnacentral:rRNA from 1 species